rnacentral:rRNA from 1 species
AAUGGGUCAGCGACUUAUAUUCUGUAGCAAGGUUAACCGAAUAGGGGAGCCGAAGGGAAACCGAGUCUUAACUGGGCGUUAAGUUGCAGGGUAUAGACCCGAAACCCGGUGAUCUAGCCAUGGGCAGGUUGAAGGUUGGGUAACACUAACUGGAGGACCGAACCGACUAAUGUUGAAAAAUUAGCGGAUGACUUGUGGCUGGGGGUGAAAGGCCAAUCAAACCGGGAGAUAGCUGGUUCUCCCCGAAAGCUAUUUAGGUAGCGCCUCGUGAAUUCAUCUCCGGGGGUAGAGCACUGUUUCGGCAAGGGGGUCAUCCCGACUUACCAACCCGAUGCAAACUGCGAAUACCGGAGAAUGUUAUCACGGGAGACACACGGCGGGUGCUAACGUCCGUCGUGAAGAGGGAAACAACCCAGACCGCCAGCUAAGGUCCCAAAGUCAUGGUUAAGUGGGAAACGAUGUGGGAAGGCCCAGACAGCCAGGAUGUUGGCUUAGAAGCAGCCAUCAUUUAAAGAAAGCGUAAUAGCUCACUGGUCGAGUCGGCCUGCGCGGAAGAUGUAACGGGGCUAAACCAUGCACCGAAGCUGCGGCAGCGACGCUUAUGCGUUGUUGGGUAGGGGAGCGUUCUGUAAGCCUGUGAAGGUGUGCUGUGAGGCAUGCUGGAGGUAUCAGAAGUGCGAAUGCUGACAUAAGUAACGAUAAAGCGGGUGAAAAGCCCGCUCGCCGGAAGACCAAGGGUUCCUGUCCAACGUUAAUCGGGGCAGGGUGAGUCGACCCCUAAGGCGAGGCCGAAAGGCGUAGUCGAUGGGAAACAGGUUAAUAUUCCUGUACUUGGUGUUACUGCGAAGGGGGGACGGAGAAGGCUAUGUUGGCCGGGCGACGGUUGUCCCGGUUUAAGCGUGUAGGCUGGUUUUCCAGGCAAAUCCGGAAAAUCAAGGCUGAGGCGUGAUGACGAGGCACUACGGUGCUGAAGCAACAAAUGCCCUGCUUCCAGGAAAAGCCUCUAAGCAUCAGGUAACAUCAAAUCGUACCCCAAACCGACACAGGUGGUCAGGUAGAGAAUACCAAGGCGCUUGAGAGAACUCGGGUGAAGGAACUAGGCAAAAUGGUGCCGUAACUUCGGGAGAAGGCACGCUGAUAUGUAGGUGAAGUCCCUUGCGGAUGGAGCUGAAAUCAGUCGAAGAUACCAGCUGGCUGCAACUGUUUAUUAAAAACACAGCACUGUGCAAACACGAAAGUGGACGUAUACGGUGUGACGCCUGCCCGGUGCCGGAAGGUUAAUUGAUGGGGUCAGCGCAAGCGAAGCUCUUGAUCGAAGCCCCGGUAAACGGCGGCCGUAACUAUAACGGUCCUAAGGUAGCGAAAUUCCUUGUCGGGUAAGUUCCGACCUGCACGAAUGGCGUAAUGAUGGCCAGGCUGUCUCCACCCGAGACUCAGUGAAAUUGAACUCGCUGUGAAGAUGCAGUGUACCCGCGGCAAGACGGAAAGACCCCGUGAACCUUUACUAUAGCUUGACACUGAACAUUGAGCCUUGAUG